GCCCGGGUGGCGAAACUGGUAGACGCAAGGGACUUAAAAUCCCUCGGGUGGCAACAUCCGUGCCGGUUCGA
rnacentral:tRNA from 1 species